UAGAGUUUGAUCCUGGCUCAGAUUGAACGCUGGCGGCAUGCUUUACACAUGCAAGUCGAACGGCAGCGCGGGGCAACCUGGCGGCGAGUGGCGAACGGGUGAGUAAUAUAUCGGAACGUACCCAAGAGUGGGGGAUAACGUAGCGGAAGUUACGCUAAUACCGCAUACGAUCUAAGGAUGAAAGUGGGGGAUCGCAAGACCUCAUGCUCCUGGAGCGGCCGAUAUCUGAUUAGCUAGUUGGUGAGGUAAAGGCUCACCAAGGCGACGAUCAGUAGCUGGUCUGAGAGGACGACCAGCCACACUGGGACUGAGACACGGCCCAGACUCCUACGGGAGGCAGCAGUGGGGAAUUUUGGACAAUGGGCGCAAGCCUGAUCCAGCAAUGCCGCGUGAGUGAAGAAGGCCUUCGGGUUGUAAAGCUCUUUUGUCAGGGAAGAAACGGCUCCGGCUAAUAUCCGGGGCUAAUGACGGUACCUGAAGAAUAAGCACCGGCUAACUACGUGCCAGCAGCCGCGGUAAUACGUAGGGUGCAAGCGUUAAUCGGAAUUACUGGGCGUAAAGCGUGCGCAGGCGGUUUUGUAAGUCUGUCGUGAAAGCCCCGGGCUUAACCUGGGAAUUGCGAUGGAGACUGCAAGGCUUGAAUCUGGCAGAGGGGGGUAGAAUUCCACGUGUAGCAGUGAA
rnacentral:rRNA from 1 species